rnacentral:rRNA from 1 species
GCCCAGACUCCUACGGGAGGCAGCAGUGAGGAAUAUUGGUCAAUGGGCGCGAGCCUGAACCAGCCAAGUCGCGUGAGGGAUGACGGUCCUACGGAUUGUAAACCUCUUUUGCCGGGGAGCAAGCGUGCGUUCGUGAACGCACGUCGAGAGUACCCGGAGAAAAAGCAUCGGCUAACUCCGUGCCAGCAGCCGCGGUAAUACGGAGGAUCCAAGCGUUAUCCGGAUUUAUUGGGUUUAAAGGGUGCGUAGGCGGAUUGAUAAGUUAGAGGUGAAAUGUCCGAGCUCAACUCGGGAACUGCCUCUAAUACUGUUGAUCUAGAGAGUAGAUGCGGUAGGCGGAAUGUAUGGUGUAGCGGUGAAAUGCUUAGAGAUCAUACAGAACACCGAUUGCGAAGGCAGCUUACCAAUCUAUAUCUGACGUUGAGGCACGAAAGCGUGGGGAGCAAACAGGAUUAGAUACCCGCGUAC